rnacentral:rRNA from 1 species
UACGUAGGUGGCAAGCGUUGUCCGGAAUUAUUGGGCGUAAAGCGCGCGCAGGCGGCCUUUUAAGUCUGAUGUGAAAGCCCACGGCUCAACCGUGGAAGGUCAUUGGAAACUGAAAGGCUUGAGUACAGAAGAGGAAAGCGGAAUUCCACGUGUAGCGGUGAAAUGCGUAGAGAUGUGGAGGAACACCAGUGGCGAAGGCGACUUACUGGACAACUGUUGACGCUGAGGUGCGAAAGCGUGGGGAGCAAACAGG